AGGACGACGCUGGCGGCGUGCCUAACACAUGCAAGUUCGAGCGAUUCUCUUCGGAGAAGAGCGGCGGACGGGUGAGUAACGCGUGGGUAACCUGCCCCUGUACACACGGAUAAACAUACCGAAAGGUAUGCUAAUACGAGAUAAUAUACUUUUAUCGCAUGGGUAGAAGUAUCAAAGCUCCGGCGGUACAGGAUGGACCCCGCGUCUGAUUAGCUAGUUGGUAAGGUAACGGCUUACCAAGGCGACGAUCAGUAGCCGACCUGAGAGGGUGAUCGGCCACAUUGGAACUGGGACACGGUCCAAACUCCUACGGGAGGCAGCAGUGGGGAAUAUUGCACAAUAGGCGAAAGCCUGAUGCAGCAACGCCGCGUGAGCGAUGAAGGCCUUCGGGUCGUAAAGCUCUGUCCUCAAGGAAGAUAAUGACGGUACUUGAGGAGGAAGCCCCGGCUAACUACGUG
rnacentral:rRNA from 1 species